GAUAAGACAACAUUAAAGCGAUGUUGGGAAGGAAAAAGGAAAGAGGAGGUGAUGUCCAGUGACACUUUAUCAGGUCUGGUGUUCUGCUCUCCCACCACUGCCUUCGCCUGUUCACAUUACUUUCUCUCCCUUGUAAAUGGCAGCGCCGAGGACAUCCGGCUGAACGCACAAGGUGUUCAAAACCCACCCCCUCAGUCUCAUUUCAUGGUCGCCCUGGGGAACUACAGGAGUAGAAUAAUCCAGACUCAUUCUCUGAAUCCAGAGGGGAGGACACACAAGUGGAGAGAACAGUAUCAUGAAUCCCCACGUAUCCACCUGUCAUUUAGCCUCAACAAUGAGCACCUCAUAGUCAAACGUGGCCCAUCCGUCACCCAGCCUCCUCUCCUGGACCACUGGUCAGGAAUUUGGAAGCAGCCGGGUAGUUCUGGUCAGGGCCUCUCGGGAUGGUGCAGUCAGGAAGCAGGGGCUGCAGUCAUCUGAACGACCGACUGAGGCUAAGAGCUGGGGAUGACUAAUGACAGUGCGCAGGCCGUAUGUGACCCACUGCCUGUGUUUAUAAACAAAGUUCUACUGGAAUAGAGCCUCUUCCUUUCAUUCACGCACCACCGUGGUGGCCUUUGCACUACCACCGCAGAACCGAGUCAUUUUGAUAGAGACUAUGUGGCCUACACACCUGAAAUAUUCACUACCUGAUUCUUUACAGAAAAUGAUUGCCAACCCUCAGACUAGAGAGGCUGUUUC